rnacentral:lncRNA from 1 species
CACGCACGCAUGCAAGCACACCCUUACACAGAAGCACUCAAGGACUGAAUCCUGCCAACAACCAUGUUCAGUUGGAUGUGGAUAUCCUCCGAGCCUUCAGAAAAGACCCUAUCUCCUGAUCUGCGGCCUGUGAGAGACCCCGAGUCAGCUCCGGGUGGAACCGUGCCCAGACUUCAGAGACCAUCUGAGAAGAACGGUGCUUUCCGCUGCCAGGUUUGUGCUGGGAUUACGUGUAUGCACCACUGAGACUGACUAUUCGCAAGUUCUGGGCCUUGAACUCAGCUCCUCACAACUUUGCGGGACUGAACUGCUGAGAAAGAAGAUUGAGCUUGCUCCCAAAGAACGACUGCUAAACAGUGCCUGCUCUGGAAUAUGUGACUAUGACAUUCCGAUGAGGACCAUGGCAGACAGUCAUGUAAGGAAACAGCUGGAGUCCUUCCCCGUGCAGAUAAAGCAUCGCUUACAUCUCAAACUGAGCCAAUA